AUGCAUGUCUCAGUACAAGCCGUCCAGUACGGUGAAACCGCGAAAGGCUCAUUAAAUCAGUUAUGGUUCCUUAGAUCGUACCCACGUUACAUGGAUAACUGUGGUAAUUCUAGAGCUAAUACAUGCCGACAGAGCUCCGACCAGCGCGCCGUUCGUUCGACGGUUCGCCCGUCGUCGUCGGCCGUUCGGAAGGAGCGCUUUUAUUAGAUCAAAACCGGCCAAGCGCGUCGAACGCGCUUCGCGCGCGUUCGCGCGUAAGCGGCCCGCGCAAAGACUUGACGACUCUGAAUAACUUCGAGCUGAUCGCACGGCCUCGCGCCGGCGACGUAUCUUUCAAAUGUCUGCCUUAUCAACUGUCGACGGUAGGUUCUACGCCUACCGUGGUGGUAACGGGUAACGGGGAAUCAGGGUUCGAUUCCGGAGAGGGAGCCUGAGAAACGGCUACCACAUCCAAGGAAGGCAGCAGGCGCGCAAAUUAUCCAUUGG
rnacentral:rRNA from 1 species